AACGAAAGCUGGCGGCAUGCCUAACACAUGCAAGUCGAACGAGACCUUCGGGUCUAGUGGCGCACGGGUGCGUAACGCGUGGGAAUCUGCCCUUGGGUUCGGAAUAACAGUUGGAAACGACUGCUAAUACCGGAUGAUGUCUUCGGACCAAAGAUUUAUCGCCCAGGGAUGAGCCCGCGUAAGAUUAGCUAGUUGGUGAGGUAAAGGCUCACCAAGGCUACGAUCUUUAGCUGGUCUGAGAGGAUGAUCAGCCACACUGGGACUGAGACACGGCCCAGACUCCUACGGGAGGCAGCAGUGGGGAAUAUUGGACAAUGGGCGAAAGCCUGAUCCAGCAAUGCCGCGUGAGUGAUGAAGGCCUUAGGGUUGUAAAGCUCUUUUACCCGGGAUGAUAAUGACAGUACCGGGAGAAUAAGCCCCGGCUAACUCCGCGCCAGCAGCCGCAGUAA
rnacentral:rRNA from 1 species